CUUAUAAUCUUCUUUCUUUUGCCUUUGAAUUAUAAACACAAAUAACAAUUCACACGAAAUUAAGGAAUAAGUCUUGAAGGAUCUUGAAGGGACUUAUUAUAGAAGGUUGUGAGAACAAGAUUAAGAUUCAUCAUGCUAAGGGGUAAUUGGAUGCACCGUGAAUUCAUAAACUUGGUUACAAGAUAUAUGUGAUUAUAUUCUUGAAGUGUCAAUAAUCCUAAUCUUAAGACAAAGACUCUUGCCUCAAAGUGUUAUACAAAGGAUCACCAAAUUUGCUACUCAAAACAAGAAGUGUUCUACUAGAUGGCUAUAUCAAGAUCCAGCAAGAUGGAGAUUCUUAUGAAGAAAUAGUAGAUGAACUUAUGGAUGUUAGUUAUGAAGAAGAUUGAAUUAUUAUGAAAUUGUUAAUCAGUUAUCAACCAUUAAUCUCAAUGUCAAGAAAAAGGGAGAGACUCUUGUCACAAGGUAUUAUACAAAGGACCAAAUAAUUUACUACUCAAAACGCAAGUGUUCCACUAGAAGGCUAUACUAAGAUCCAGCAAGAACGUAGAUGGAGAUUCUUAUGAAACAAUAGUAGAAGAAAGAUGUAACCUCUACAUCUUUAGAGAAAAUUAUUGAGAAAUGAUUUGCAUCAUUAAAGUGACUUAGGCUAUAAGUAAGUCUUCUUACCUUAGAGUUCCAUAUGAGUUUUACUUAGACAAAUAGUGUGACUAGUU
rnacentral:lncRNA from 1 species